rnacentral:rRNA from 1 species
UACAUGGGGUGCAAACGUUGCUCGGAAUUAUUGGGCGUAAAGCGCACGUAGGCGGUUUGUUAAGUCGAACGUGAAAUCCCCGGGCUCAACCCGGGAACUGCGUCCGAUACUGGCAGGCUUGAAUCCGGGAGAGGGAUGCGGAAUUCCAGGUGUAGCGGUGAAAUGCGUAGAUAUCUGGAGGAACACCGGUGGCGAAGGCGGCAUCCUGGACCGGCAUUGACGCUGAGGCGCGAAAGCCAGGGGAGCAAACGGG